UACGUAGGGGGCAAGCGUUGUCCGGAAUUAUUGGGCGUAAAGAGCGCGUAGGCGGUCCGAUAAGUCGGCUGUGAAAGUCAGGGGCUCAACUCUGGAAUGCCGGCCGAUACUGUCGGACUAGAGUCCGGAAGAGGUGAGUGGAAUUCCCGGUGUAGCGGUGAAAUGCGCAGAUAUCAGGAGGAACACCGGUGGCGAAGGCGGGUCUCUGGGCCGAUAUCGACGCUGAGGAGCGAAAGCCAGGGGAGCAAACGGG
rnacentral:rRNA from 1 species